GACGAACGCUGGCGGCGUGCUUAACACAUGCAAGUCGAACGGAAAGGCCCUGCUUUUGUGGGGUGCUCGAGUGGCGAACGGGUGAGUAACACGUGAGUAACCUGCCCUUGACUUUGGGAUAACUUCAGGAAACUGGGGCUAAUACCGGAUAGGAGCUCCUGCUGCAUGGUGGGGGUUGGAAAGUUUCGGCGGUUGGGGAUGGACUCGCGGCUUAUCAGCUUGUUGGUGGGGUAGUGGCUUACCAAGGCUUUGACGGGUAGCCGGCCUGAGAGGGUGACCGGCCACAUGGGGACUGAGAUACGGCCCAGACUCCUACGGGAGGCAGCAGUGGGGAAUAUUGCACAAUGGGCGGAAGCCUGAUGCAGCAACGCCGCGGGCGGGAUGACGGCCUUCGGGUUGUAAACCGCUUUCGCCUGUGACGAAGCGUGAGUGACGGUAAUGGGUAAAGAAGCACCGGCUAACUACGUG
rnacentral:rRNA from 1 species